AGAGAUAGGUAGCACGCUACCGCUUCGUUUAUUUCAUUUAGAAAUAAACUUAGCUAGAAAUGUGAAUCAACUAGGAUUCGAACUUGGGUCUCGGGUACCAACCAUCAAGCCCUUUUGCCACUUGCGCUAGGGACGGUCGGUAAUUAAUAAUAUAUUUCUAGAGCAAGUCUACUGUGCUAUUAAGAGUACAGUAGUCUUUGUUCUGCUAACUUUAUUUUGAUUAUUUUGAUGAGCAGUUAGGAGAUGAGAGAAAGAAGAAAAAUUAAAAAAAAAUUCAAAGAGAAUAGAAAUUGAGACACCCAAUUUCUCUUUUCUCUCUCAUCCUAAUCACCUAUCAAAAUUGAUGAAUAAUUAGGAAAUUAAAAAUACAAGAGUUGCUAUACUUCUAAUUCUGCAGUAGCGCUACUCUCUAUUUCUAUACAAUGAAAUUUAAAAAAUAACUAAAUAUUCAC
rnacentral:lncRNA from 1 species